UCCAUGAGGAAUAUGUAUGGGCAUGCCUUCACUUCUUCACACUCCUCUUCCUUUACUCUCAACUCUCUUCCCUCUCCCUCUCCCUCUCCUUCUCCCUCUGAAUUUAUUGCUUAUAUCAACGACAUCCCUUUGGGAAUUCAGAGUCUUUAUCUGUAUGAGAUCUAAGAACUGCAGACUUUGAUCAUGAAUUUUACAAGUCCUGUCAUGCUUUUCCACAGCUUUCUUGAACUUCAGCCUGAAUUUGAUCCAUCCAUCCAUCCACCCAUCUCUCUCUCUUUGUCUUCUGGGAUUUUUUUCAUCAAGCAAUGAAGUUCAAGAAAGCUGUGGGAAGACAUGGCCACUCAGGACUUCACCCGUUUUACCCCAAUUGUGCACAGAAUUGCCUGCCUGCACCUGCAGGAUGCAGCACAGCUGGUUUUGGUUGUUUCAGAUAUUGUCUCUGCAGGCUGCAGGCCGCGCGCUACCGUUGACGAUGAACCCGGCAAAUCCACCAAAUUCUGCUCCACGAUUGGCGUGAAUUCUUCCUUCUCGGUUUAGGUAAACGUCCCUUGUCUUAAAAUAGUUAGAAUUGCUCGUUAUAUGCAUAUUUCAAAGUUCAUGCCACAAUUGGAGGAAUAUUAGACGAAAGUCAAGACCACCCAGUUUCCAUGACUUCUUACCCUUUCUUUUCUUUCUUUUUUUUUUUUUUACCGCUGUUACAAAACCCUGCAUGGCCGUGUAAAACUUCUCCCGUGAAACUCUGAUCACUUUUUUUUUUCUUGAAUUGCCUGUUAAUGCGGCGCAAUGUUUUGUUUGAUUUCUCAUUAUUAUUUCAAGAGGUAGUUUAGUUAUCUAUGCUAGCAAGUUUAAGUUACAAAAGUAUAAUCGAAGUGGUGAAAACUGAAAGAUGUUGCAGAGAAGAUUCCCUGCCUUUCCUCUUUUUCUCAUCAAUAAUUGGUAGUUCAUCUUGUUUGCCCUUUGUUUUCUUGCUUCCCCAUCAUCUCAUGCGUUUCCGUGAAAAAAGGUUAAACUUUGUCAUUUUCUGAAAAUUCAAAAAAAAUUUUUUUACCACCCUCACCUCUCUCUCUCUCUCUCUCUACACACACUCACACAGUAGCAGUUCAGUACAUGCACACGCAGAGACACAUAUGGAUUCUCGCCUUCCUUGAUUAAUACCCUACGACUCGUCGACUACUACUUUACUACAUUAAACAGACCCCUCAAACUUGUGCAAUCUUGGAAGUUAAAAUAUGUCAGUACUAGUGUUCACUAAUGCUUGGUGGUUGAACUGAUAUAGUGCAUCAGUAAUAGUUAUUAGGAGUUUUCAAUGCAUUUUUUUCAGAGUGGCAGCAUAUCCUUCUGGGAUUAUAUCAAAUUUCCCGUCUAUGUUACAACUAGUCCAAUGACAUAUAUGAUCUCAUCAUCUAGGGAACUCUCUCCUUUUUUUUUUUUUUGGCCUAAAAUUCUCUGAAACAAUCUUCAGGCAGCAAUUUGCCCGGCUCAUCCUUCUCAUCUCAUCAGUGCACCAUUAUUAGUCCCUAGAUUUUUAAGCUCCAUCAGAGUCUGAUUCUUCUUGGAAAUUGUUGAAAUUUUGCAUUAACCACGAUCAACAACGAUGGGAAUAGGAAUUAAAAGUAAGAGAACAGAAAUUAGAAAAUGGUGCAUAAAAACAUACUACUGCUCAGAAGUGAGAAUUUAAGGAUGCGAUUAGACCUGUCACGGGUAGCUGAAAUAUCUAGAUGCGGUUUGGCAAGCAAAGCAGCAGUUUUGAUUGGUGGUUGAUGGGUAGGUCUGUUAAGAUUACUUAAAAUAGACCAGACAUUGGGGCAUGGCUGUCCUGUACCAAGUCUAAAAUAGAUUUGACAUUCAUAAAACCCAUGAAUGCCGUGGAGGUAGAGUUGCCUGCUCCUCUACUAUUUUUAAGAUUUGUCUGGCUGAAGAUGCCAGGAGCUGUGACUCGAGUGUUUGCGUUGAGGGGGUCAGGUUAUCACUAGUACUGAUUUGGUGUUGCAGUACUAGGGGAGUGGGCAAGAGUUUACUGAGGCAGUUGGAGAAGCAAAGUCAUCAGAUGAUCAGUCCUGAGGAGCUAAUGAAAAUUAGCCAGCAUCUCUGCCUUGGGCUAGUUGUUUUUUUUUUUUUUUUAUUAUAUAUAUAGUUUUUUUCCUUCCUCAAGUCAGUCAGACCAAUCACUUUUCAGUUUCUAUUUCCAGUUAUUGGUUUGGUUGAAAUGCCAGAGUGACGAGCAAUUCAUAAUCAAGUACGUCUAUAAUUAAUGUCAUUUUCUAGUUAAUUUUUUAUUUUAAUCAGUUUGAGUUAAUUUACCCUGUGAACCUGGCUCCGGCCCAAGGACCAAUUCCCAGUUCGCAUAGCACAUAACCAACCACCUUGUUGGGAAACUAGAUAGGUCCGUCUGCAAGUUUGCUAGCUCAAGGCUUCAUCUUCCCAUCUAUAAAGAAAAAUCCAAACCUCAUUAACUCGCAAUACUCUCGCAUUACGAAGCGUAUAGGGCAUAGAUAGCAGGAUAUCAACGUCUUCUGUUGUGAAUUGGGGACUGGAGUGUUGCAGGUCCUUCUUCUUUUUUCUUUUUAAUUUAUUUUUGUUUCUGAAAGUCCAUUAAAUCAUGGAUGAAUGAUACAAAUCAGAACUCAUGUCCUACAUAGCAACAAAUUAGAUUCAUUGUCCAUUCCCUUCAAUCUAUCAUAUAUGCCAUAGGUUUCAGUGGUUUUCGUAGAACUAUGUGCGAACUCAAGGACGAUCAUCUUAAUUCUUGAUUAGACUUUUUGAGCUAAUCUACGAAGCCCUUCCCUAACUACUAGGUAUGAUGUGAUGCAACCCCAUGGAAGGCCGAUUAAGUUAGGGGAGAUGUACAAGAGCGAGUAGCUGCAUAUUCCUAUUUCCUCACACACAUGGCGCAUAACUUUUGCCAUGCGUAUUAACAAUGAGGCCCAAGAUUGUUUUGCUGUAUACCUUUCUUUAAGGAACUUAAUUUACUUGCAAAGUAAGUUCCCAAGGAGGAGACAUUGUGAUACCUUCCAUGAAUGACUGACAAGGUGAUACGAAGGUAGCUGUCUUAUGAAGCCAUUGGACUGUGGUUUCUACUGUUUUGAUUGGUAACAACUAACAAAAACACUGCUCGGAGUGAGUUUUCCACAAUCAUAUCAAGAGAAACUCGAUCAAAACGGACCAAAACUGCAUAGGUCAAAGCCUAAAGGAUCAAACUAUAACAUAGAACUUUAAAACCAUUCUUCACUUAUAACCAAAACUAAUUAGCAAGUUUACUCUAAAAGCUAGUUGCUCAAACUAGUUAGUUCACCAAUAGUGGCUUAGAAAGUACUCAAAGCAAGGACCUGAGAGCGGGGAAGGACUGGUUCUCUACAACUAAAACGUAGUAUAGCCGUAGCAUGUGUAUGUACAAUGCUCUUUCAUGUCCAUUUCAUGAAAAACAUCUUGAAAAUGGUUUCAAUAUGAGAGGAAGAUUCUAUGAUAUAACUUGUUAGCAAAUUUAAAUUAAGAACAUGAAUCAAAAUCAUAUACCUUUCCAGAGAGCACAGACUUACAAUGCCGCGUUCUUUGAAAAACUUGGCCAACAUCAGAGUUUCUUAUUAGACCAUGUAGACCAUCCUUUCUAGGUGCCAACUAGAAUGAGAAGGUAAUCUGCAUCUAAAUGGUUAAGUGGUUGUUUGGUUACAAUUUGCUGACAAAGUUUCGAGCUUUAUUCAGGCAAACGGCUUUCUAAGCCAAUCAAGAGAUUACGUUUUAAGGGUGCCAUAGAAUCCUCAUUGGCUUAUCUAUUUCAGGUCGAAGUUUUAUUACCGAUUGGCUUUUUUGCAACAAAUCUAAAAGUGUAUGUCCCACAUUCCCCAUGGCAUACAAAAUCCAGCUACGAAUCCACAUCAAUGAUGUAAUACUUUAAUAAAUUCAAUCACUUGGUGCAAGGAGCUAUGGCAUAAGUCUGUCCUUAUGCCCCAUUAUCGACGAACAGAAAUGGCAAGUUAACUCCAGCCAUCUAGACUACUGGUCAUCAAAUGUUCUUUGUUUGGCACAGGUGUUGAAUCGAAAGCAUGAAUGGAUAAUGAGCAUUGUUGAAUCUCCAUCAAAUGCUAAUUAUAAAAACCUACUGUGCAGUUUCUGUAACAUCAGGUUCAGCAUAUUUUAGACUUCUGGACACUUUUUCCCCUAAUUGUGAUCUUCGGAUGCUGCAAAUGAUUUCUCUAAAAUGUCCUAAUGUCAACAGACUUGUUUUUUGUAUUCCGCAUAUAGGGCAGUAGUAAGAGUAGCAACAUUUUCAAGAAGUCAAGAAGAUGGAAAAGAAAGAUUCACGUUUGGCCUGAUUUCUCUUUCUGUUUCUCUCGUCUUGUCAGUCCAUGCAUGUAGUUUUGUUUCUCAAUGCUUCUCUCUCUCUCCCUCUCUCUCUGAUGAUGUUCAGUCUCGGCUUGUUCGGUCGUGUUACUUUAACAUUGUGUUUAUGAGUCUAAUGGAGUUCAUCGUAGUUUUGCAUUAAUAAAUCCAGCAACAUAACUAAGCACAUAAAGGGCAUUAAUUAGCCUUCAGCAGAAAUUGACGGCGGCCCUGAAUUGGCUGCUUUCUGGGGACAAUAUGACUUGAGGUUGCGACAUAUUUCUGAAGAAAAGCAUACAAAACUGGACGAGUGCCUCUCAAAUCGAGUUGUAUCCAAUUCGGUCCGGUUAUUAGAAUUUUUAUAACAUUUGACAUGCAUUCAUACAAUUUUGGUGUAAUUGUAAUUUCUACCCUAUCUUAGUUGCAUGAGUUGAACCUGCUUACACCAGAGGAUGUGACAAUAAUAUGACCGGAUAGAAUUGGACAACACUUCCAACUUGAAAAGCCCCGGAUCCUACAAAAACCUUUCAACCUUUCAAACUGACUACAGCGAAAUAAAGUAGGGGGGGGGGGGAAAUGUACAAUUGUUACAUAUCAGCAGCAUUUUUCUGGAGCAGGAGGAGGAGGAAAAAGAGAUUGGAUGUUGCGUCCAGCCAGAUUUGGGGCCCUUCUAGUUGAUUUCUGUCUUUUUAUAACUUUUGGCAUAAGUUCAUACAAUUUUACGUAGUCGUAAUUUUUACACUAACUCAGUUAAACGAGUUGACGAGCUCACACUUAACGUUUGGGAGAGGGAUGAAUUAGAUGGCUCAAAGGAAGGGGUAUAAAUAAGUAAGAAAACUCGAAUUCAUCUUGAGAGGAGAGGCCCCAUAUCCUAUCCAGUAAGUGCGCAAUGAUUUCUUGCAUGCAAUACACGUACUCGAAUAAGGGAAAGAUAAUUGUAAGAUAUGUACUAAUAUGUUUGAUUGUUGCAGCACCUUUUAAUUCGAGGAGUUAGAGCAACCAUAAAAUCACGCCAAGUUUUGCCUCCUCCUAACAGUACUUUACAUUAAUACAUAUUGGCCAAUAAGAGCGUGGAUCGUGCACGGUCGCAUUAUUGGUGAAUCAUUUAUAGUUCAUCUAAUCUGAUGAUGAGCUGUAUGAAGAAGAAGUUGGAAAUUAAUGCAUUACCAAACAAUUCUACAAAGAGACAGAUCACAUGUGAUUAAAUUUUGAUGCAGCAAUGCAAUGGGAGAAAACUUCUUCAUAUGAGUACCAAUGAUGACCUUUACUGAGAAAAUAAUUGGGGAAAGAGGCCAAUGUACGGACAAAUAAUGGGUGAAGCUUUUUGUCCACGAAUCAAUCAAUAUAUGUCUAAAAUUGUAUGCCUAAAUAAUCAAGGGGCGGAGAAGGCCGUCGUACAUUAAUGCUUCGACCCACCCCACCCCAGAAGAGUUCCCUUCUUCUUCAACAAUGAAUUGCAAACCAAAAGGGGUUCCAUUACGUACGGACGAAGAAGUUUAUUCAUUAUUGAUCAUAUAUAAAUGGGAGGCAGGCUUUUUCAGAAGAAGUAUAAAUCUAUUCGCAUUCAAAAAAAAAAAAAAAA